UCCCUGGUGGCUCAGAGGGUAAAGCAUCUGCCUGCAAUGCGGGAGACCUGGGUUUGAUCCCUGGGUUGGGAA
rnacentral:tRNA from 1 species